UACGUAGGGUGCUAGCGUUGUUCGGAAUCAUUGGGCGUAAAGCGCGUGUAGGCGGUCAGUUAAGUCAGAUGUGAAAUCCCUAGGCUCAACCAAGGAAGUGCAUUUGAAACUAGCUGACUGGGAGACAGUAGAGGAAGGUGGAAUUCCUAGUGUAGAGGUGAAAUUCGUAGAUAUUAGGAGGAAUACCGGUGGCGAAGGCGGCCUUCUGGACUGUUCUCGACGCUGAGACGCGAAAGCGUGGGUAGCAAACAGG
rnacentral:rRNA from 1 species